UGGGAGUAGAGCACAGGGAUUGCCUCAGUAACGGCGAGUGAAGCGGCAAGAGCUCAGAUUUGAAAGCUAGCAUCUUUGAUGUUCGCAUUGUAAUCUGUAGAGGAGUGUUCGAGCAUAGCUUUGACCCAAGUUCUUUGGAACAAGAUGUCAUGGAGGGUGAGAAUCCCGUUCAUGGUUGUUGUCUUAUGCUUAUGUGAAUCUCCUUCAAUGAGUCGAGUUGUUUGGGAAUGCAGCUCUAAAUGGGUGGUAUAUUUCAUCUAAAGCUAAAUAUCAGCAGGAGACCGAUAGUGCACAAGUAGAGUGAUCGAAAGAUGAAAAGAACUUUGGAAAGAGAGUCAAACAGUACGUGAAAUUGUUGAAAGGGAAGCACUUGCACCCAGACUUGCUUUCAGUUGAUCAACUAUCAUUUUUGAUUGUGCACUUAAUUGUAAGCAGGCCAGUAUCAGUUAGAGUGGUGGGGCAAAGGUGUUGAGAAUGUAGCUCUUUCGGGAGUGUUAUAACUCUUCAUGUCAUAUCAUCUGCUCUGACUGAGGUUCGCACUUUGGUGAGGAUGCUGGCUUAAUGGGUGCAAGUGACCCGUCUUGAAACACGGACCAAGGAGUCUAACAGUUGUGCAAGUGUUUGGGUAUAAAACCCUUAUGCGUAAUGAAAGUAAAUGGAGGUGAGAACCGCAAGGUGCAUCAUCGACCGAUCCUGAUGUCUUCAGAUGGAUUUGAGUAAGAGCAUAGCUGGUUGGGACCCGAAAGAUGGUGAACUAUGCCUGAAUAGGGUGAAGCCAGAGGAAACUCUGGUGGAGGCUCGCAGCGGUUCUGACGUGCAAAUCGAUCGUCAAAUUUGGGUAUAGGGGCGAAAGACUAAUCGAACAUCUAUAGCUGGUCGCGAAAAUUUUUUCUUCUC
rnacentral:rRNA from 1 species